GAUGAACGCUGGCGGCGUGCUUAACACAUGCAAGUCGAACGAACGACUAUUAACAGAACCUUUCGGGGCGAAGAAUAUAGAAGUUAGUGGCGGACGGGUGCGUAACGCGUGGGUAAUCUGCCUUUGUCAAAGGAAUAACUAUUGAAAGAAUAGCUAAAACCGUAUAACAUAUUAAUAGGGCAUCCUAAUAAUAUCAAAACUGAGGUGGACAAAGAUGAGCCCGCGUCUGAUUAGCUAGUUGGUGAGAUAAAAGCCCACCAAGGCAACGAUCAGUAGCCGACCUGAGAGGGUGAACGGCCACAUUGGAACUGAGACACGGUCCAAACUCCUACGGGAGGCAGCAGUGGGGAAUAUUGCACAAUGGGGGGAACCCUGAUGCAGCAACGCCGCGUGAGUGAAGAAGGCAGUGUCGUAAAACUCUGUAGUAGGGGAAGAAAGAAAUGACAGUACCCUAAAAGAAAGCCCCGGCUAACUACGUGCCAGCAGCCGCGGUAAUACGUAGGGGGCAAGCGUUAUCCGGAAUAACUGGGCGUAAAGGGUGCGCAGGUGGUUUAACAAGUUAGUGGUGAAAGGCAUAGGCUCAACCAAUGUAAGCCAUUAAAACUGUUUAACUUGAGUGCAGGAGAGGAAAGUGGAAUUCCUAGUGUAGCGGUGAAAUGCGUAGAUAUUAGGAGGAAUACCUGGCGAAGGCGACUUUCUGGACUGCAACUGACACUGAGGCACGAAAGCGUGGGGAGCAAACAGGAUUAGAUACCCUGGUAGUCCACGCCGUAAACGAUGAGUACUAGGUGUCGGGUGAAGAACUCGGUGCCGAAGUUAACACAUUAAGUACUCCGCCUGGGGAGUACGCUCGCAAGAGUAAAACUCAAAGGAAUUGACGGGGACCCGCACAAGCAGCGGAGCAUGUGGUUUAAUUCGAAGCAACGCGAAGAACCUUACCUAAACUUGACAUACCAAUGACAGCCUUUUAAUCGAGGACUUUUACCUUCGGGUAGACAAUGGAUACAGGUGGUGCAUGGUUGUCGUCAGCUCGUGUCGUGAGAUGUUGGGUUAAGU
rnacentral:rRNA from 1 species